ACGCGACUCUCACUCACUCACUUUCACUCAGACUUCUCUUCUGUUCUCUCUUCUAUUUUCAUUUUCUUUCUCUGGUUUUGACCUAAGGGGCUGCGUGCGGCGCCUCUCUCUCUCUCUCUCACCUCACCAAAGCUCAGAUCUUCAAUCGACCUCGGAUCUUUGAACAACAACAUCAGCGUCUCUCUCUCUCUCUCUCUCUCUGUGGUUUUGACCUAAGGGGCUGUGUGUGGCGCCUCUCUCUCUCUCUCUCACCUCACCAAAGCUCAGAUCUUUGAACAACAACAUCAGCGUCGCUCCUUCCUUCAUCGAUCUCUCGAUCUGUCAUCUGCCGCCAGGCACGCACAGCACAAACCCUAUCAAUUCUAAUACUUGCACGCUUGAGGCAGCAGCGACAACCACCUCCCUUGCCGAAGGUAAAUUCUCCCUCUCCUCUGUACAUUCUAGGGUUUUUUUUAUUUUGAAAUUUAUACUUAUGCUCUGAACUUGAGAAAUUAUUUUUGCAUUUUGUUUGAACGAUUCUUCCAUUCAAUCUAUCUGUGCUCUGUGUGUUUUUUGAUAGAGUAAGGAAGAAAGAGAAAAACAUAGAGAAUUAGAGAAAAACAGAGAAAAAAUGCGAGUUUGAUUUUGAGUAUUAAUUAGCUAAUGUUUUGCCUAUAUCCGAUGGAUUUAUGCUCUGAACUUGAGAAUUAAUUUUUGCUUUUUUUGAACAAUUCUUCCA